ensembl:miRNA
GCUGGCUCUGGGCAGCGUGUGGCUGAAGGUCACCAUGUUCUCCUUGGCCAUGGGGCUGCGCGGCGCCAGC